rnacentral:rRNA from 1 species
GACGAACGCUGGCGGCGUGCCUAAUACAUGCAAGUUGAGCGAUGAAGAUUGGUGCUUGCACCAAUUUGAAGAGCAGCGAGCGGGUGAGUAACGCGUGGGGAAUCUGCCUUUGAGCGGGGGACAACAUUUGGAAACGAAUGCUAAUACCGCAUAACAACUUUAAACAUAAGUUUUAAGUUUGAAAGAUGCAAUUGCAUCACUCAAAGAUGAUCCCGCGUUGUAUUAGCUAGUUGGUGAGGUAAAGGCUCACCAAGGCGAUGAUACAUAGCCGACCUGAGAGGGUGAUCGGCCACAGUGGGACUGAGACACGGCCCAAACUCCUACGGGAGGCAGCAGUAGGGAAUCUUCGGCAAUGGACGAAAGUCUGACCGAGCAACGCCGCGUGAGUGAAGAAGGUUUUCGGAUCGUAAAACUCUGUUGGUAGAGAAGAACGUUGGUGAGAGUGGAAAGCUCAUCAAGUGACGGUAACUACCCAGAAAGGGACGGCUAACUACGUG